rnacentral:rRNA from 1 species
GGGGAAUUUUGGACAAUGGGCGCAAGCCUGAUCCAGCAAUGCCGCGUGCAGGAUGAAGGCCUUCGGGUUGUAAACUGCUGUUGUACGGAACGAAAAGCCUCUCUCUAAUACAGGGGGGUGAUGACGGUACCGUAAGAAUAAGCACCGGCUAACUACGUGCCAGCAGCCGCGGUAAUACGUAGGGUGCAAGCGUUAAUCGGAAUUACUGGGCGUAAAGCGUGCGCAGGCGGUUUUGUAAGACAGUGGUGAAAUCCCCGGGCUCAACCUGGGAACUGCAGUGGAUACUGGAUCACUAGAGUGUGGCAGAGGGUAGUGGAAUUCCCGGUGUAGCAGUGAAAUGCGUAGAGAUCGGGAGGAACACCGAUGGCGAAGGCAAUCCCCUGGGCCUGCACUGACGCUCAUGCACGAAAGCGUGGGGAGCAAACA